rnacentral:rRNA from 1 species
AGUAACGGCGAGUGAAGCGGCAACAGCUCAAAUUUGAAAUCUGGCCUCUUUUGGGGUCCGAGUUGUAAUUUGUAGAGGAUGUUUUGGGUACCGCCCCGGUCUAAAUUUCUUGGAACAGAAUGUCAGAGAGGGUGAGAAUCCCGUCUUGGACCGGCGGUAGGGCCUGUGUAAAACUCCUUCGACGAGUCGAGUUGUUUGGGA